rnacentral:misc_RNA from 1 species
AACGUGCAAAAACAUAUGUUGUGAUGGUUAAUGGCUUACUGCAUAUAUGUUUAAACACACAAAAUAGAAGAGAAAGGGGGAAAGAUAUAUUACAUGCACAGAGGGGAAAAUCUCACACAUAGCACAAGAGAAGCAUCAAAUGGAAGAAAACACAACUUGUGAAAAGGAAUGAAGAAAAAGCUAAUCAAGCAUGUGUGGCAUUUAACAAAAUAGUACCACCAACAAAUAGAAAGUAAAGGUGAGGGGUGGGAGGGGAAAAAACAUAGUUCGUAAUCCAAUAAAGAGAAGCUUCAAAGAUAAGAAACAGGAAAGAGAGAGCAGAACUAGCAAGAAAAAGACGCCCAAAAUCUGGAACAUAAUAAAUUCCAAAAUAAGUAUAAAGCUAGUCAAGCAAACAGAUCAGCUGGAAUCCCAGUUUGACUUCACAUACAUAGUCUGCUACUCAUUUCCCUUAUCAAAGUCUAAACCAUACCAACCAAUACGGCUGUUUAAUCUAAGCCACUCAUAUUCUUCAUCUAAUACAUUCACACCCAACUAGCCAACUUCUUCACAAUUAUCUAGUCUCUUGCUGACAGGCAU